rnacentral:rRNA from 1 species
UAUAAGCAUUUAUACGGCGAAACUGCGGAUGGCUCAUUACAUCAGUUACAAUCUACUUGACGAGUUAUUACAUUUGGAUAACUGUAGUAAUUCUAGAGCUAAUACAUGCGAUAAGGGUGGACCGGCCGCAAGUCCGGAAAGCCCGUGAUUAUGGGAUCCAGAACCGACACGGGGUAUUCCAAACCCGGGGAAACUCGGGGCUCCGGAUUCAUUUGGGAGUGACCAUAAGCUUCACGAAUCGGGGGCUACGUCCUCGAUGGUGCAAGCGAAUUUCUGCCCUAUCAACUUUCGAUGGUAGUGUAGGGGACUACCAUGSUCGUAACGKGUAACGGAGAAUUAGGGUUCUAUUCCGGAGAGKGAGCCUGAGAAAUGGCUACCACUUCCAWGGAAGGCAGCAGGCACGCAAAUUACCCAAUCCUAAUACGGGKAGGUAGUGACAAGAAAUAUCGAUGUAGGGCCCUACGGACACUACGAUCGAAAUGAGAACAAUUUAAAAACCUUAUCGAGGAACAAUUGSAGKGCAAGUCUGGUGCCAGCAGCCGCGGUAAUUCCAGCUCCAAUAGUGUAUAUUAAAGUUGUUGCGGUUAAAAAGCUCGUAGUUCGGCCGCCGUCGGGGGAGCCCGUUUCGCCGCGUUCCGCCUCUGGCGUGSGCGCGSGCMAACGRGKCGGGCGUCGCYUCCGACGAAAUGGUCCGUCACGCUUUCGCCCUUCGCGUCGRUUCUCCGRCGCGRGGSGCUGUGUCGGUCAGUUUACUUUGAAGAAAUUUGAGUGUUCCAAGCGGKCAAUAUUUGCWGUGAAGACAUUAGCAUGGGAUAMUAGAAUAUGAYCAGGGGUCUUACCUUCGUUGGUUCGUAAGGCUCGGGUAAUGAUUAAUAGGGACGGUCGGGGUCGCUAGUACCGAGUGSCUAGAGGUGAAAUUCUGUGACCCAUUCGAGACUAACAAGAGCGAAAGCWUUCGACAAGGACGUUUUCUUUAAUCAAGAACGAAAGUUGGGGGAUCGAAGAUGAUCAGAUAMCGUCGUAGUCMCAAMCGUAAACUAUGUMGAMCCGAGAUCGGAAGGCGUUACAUGGAUGAMMCUUCCGGCAUCGUGUGAGAAAUCAMAAGUAUUCAGACUCSGGGGGGAGUAUGRUCGCAAGGCUGAAACUUAAAGGAAUUGASGGARGGGCACCACCAGGAGUGGAGUCUGCGGCUUAAUUUGMCUCAACACGGGGAAACUUACSAAGUCCGAACACGACGAGGAUUGACARAUUGAUAGCUCUUUCUUGAUUUUGUGAAGAGUGGUGMAUGGCCGUUUUUAGUUGRUGGAGUGAUCUGUCUGGUUAAUUCSGUUAMCGAMCGAGACCUUAACCUACUAAAUAGAGGCACGAACGCGGGGGUUYGGAGCGGCCCUUMGSGGGGUCGAUUMGGAUCUCCACGAUUAUUCCAUUCGUGCGAUAUUCACUUCUUAGAGGGACCAUUCKUCCUCCAAGCGAMCGGAAGUUUAAGGCAAAAACAGGUCUGUGAUGCCCUCAGAUGUUUUGGGCUGCACGCGCAUUACMCUGUUGGGUUCAACGAGUCUAACGAUCCCUAACCCGAAAUGGGSGGGGCAAGCUUUUAAUGCUUAACGUGAUGGGGACUGUGUCUUGUAAUUAUUACACACGAAMGAGGAAUUCCUAGUAAGUCGGAGUNNNNGCUCGCGCUGAUUACGUNCCUGCCCUUUGUNCACACCGCUCGUCGCUCCUNNCGAUUGAACGGNCCGAUGAGAACUCGAGAUGGAAGGCGUACGACCGCCUGAAAGGGUGGUCGCGCUCCGUUCAGAAGCUGUUCAAAUCAU